rnacentral:tRNA from 2 species
GGGCAGCUAGCUCAAUGGUUAGAGCGUUUGGUUUACAUCCAAGAGGUUAGAGGUUCGAGUCCUCUGCUGCCCA